CUAAAUCCUCAUUUUCAGGGAUCGGAAGUCCUUGACAUACCGGAGCGGGGGGUUCGAGACUACAUUUUCAAAGUUAUUAUUGAUUUUGGGAACAAGAGAAUAAAACAUCAGCUGCUCUCUCCUUUUCCCUUUCCUUUCAGCUGUUGACGACGAAAUGGUUAACAUUCCCAAGCUUCGCCGGACUUAUUGUCCUAGCUGCAAUCACCAUGAAAAGUUCAAGGUGACUCAAUACAAAAAGUCCCAGGAAUCCAAGUUUGCACAGGGUCGUCGGCGUUACGACAGGAAGCAACAGGGUUUUGGAGGUCAGUCCAAGCCUAUUUUGCGAAAAAAGGCAAAAACUACCAAGAAGAUUGUGCUGCGUUUGGAGUGCAGCAAGUGCAAGAGACGUCAACAAGUUCCUUUGAAGAGAACGAAGCAUUUCGAACUUGGAGGAGACAAGAAACGUAAAGGACAAAUGAUCCAGUUCUAAAUUUUGUUAUCACCACACUUCUAUACCUUAUGGAAUAAAACCAUUUAUAUACAAACAGA
rnacentral:misc_RNA from 1 species